GAUGAACGCUGGCGGCGUGCCUAAUACAUGCAAGUCGAGCGAACAGACGAGGAGCUUGCUCCUCUGACGUUAGCGGCGGAAGGGUGAGUAACACGUGGAUAACCUACCUAUAAGACUGGGAUAACUUCGGGAAACCGGAGCUAAUACCGGAUAAUAUAUUGAACCGCAUGGUUCAAUAGUUAAAGACGGUUUUGCUGUCACUUAUAGAUGGAUCCGCGCCGCAUUAGCUAGUUGGUAAGGUAACGGCUUACCAAGGCAGCGAUGCGUAGCCGACCUGAGAGAGUGAUCGGCCACACUGGAACUGAGACACGGUCCAGACUCCUACGGGAGGCAGCAGUAGGGAAUCUUCCGCAAUGGGCGAAAGCCUGACGGAGCAACGCCGCGUGAGUGAUGAAGGUCUUCGGAUCGUAAAACUCUGUUAUUAGGGAAGAACAAAUGUGUAAGUAACUAUGCACGUCUUGACGGUACCUAAUCAGAAAGCCACGGCUAACUACGUG
rnacentral:rRNA from 1 species